rnacentral:rRNA from 1 species
UAAUACAGAGGGUGCAAACGUUGCUCGGAAUUAUUGGGCGUAAAGCGCGUGCAGGCGGCCCGUUAAGUCGACUGUGAAAGCCCUUGGCUCAACCAAGGAAGUGCAGUCGAAACUGGCGGGCUUGAGUCCCGAAGAGGGUGGCGGAAUGCCAAGUGUAGAGGUGAAAUUCGUAGAUAUUUGGUAGAACACCAGUGGCGAAGGCGGCCACCUGGGAGGCGACUGACGCUGAGACGCGAAAGCGUGGGGAGCAAACAGGAUUAGAUACCCUGGUAGUCCACGCCGUAAACGAUGAGCACUAGAUGUUGCGGGUAUUGACCCCUGCAGUGUCGACGCUAACGCAUUAAGUGCUCCGCCUGGGGAGUACGGCCGCAAGGCUA